rnacentral:rRNA from 1 species
GUCUACAGCCAUACCACCCUGACUGCGCCUGAUCUCGUCUGAUCUUAGAAGCUAAGCAGGAAGCAGGGUUGGGCCUGGUUAGUACUUGGAUGGGAAAGUAACCUGAGAGAGUAGGAAGAAAACA